GUACAUUUGGUCUCAGAUGCCGCUAUGCUGCAGUAUCAGCGCUGACGGAAGCCACAGCUGGCAAACUUCCUUCGUCAGCCGGAGCUCGAAAUUCGAAUGGGAUGGACACUGAACACUGAACAGGAUGUGGUAGUCAGACGCUGCAUCUGAUGUAGGGCGUGGUGUGGGCAAACGUUUCAAUCUAAGUUUCAUCAUCCCUGCACCAAUCGAAUGGACCGGCCCCCUGAGGGGUUGGAUUGAGAUUCAUCUUUGGACCCAAAGACUCUCUUCCCUAGUUUCAAGUGGUUUUCACAAUGACACUCGUGCCGAGCUGAUAAGGAGCUCCGAUAGCAAUGUCUUGUUUCGAUAUCGUGCUGAGGACGUACCCUGACGAACUGCUCCAUGGCUAGCUACUGUAAAAUAUGUGUAUCUGCAUGCAUCUGAUGAGUAAAAUAUUGUAUGUAUUUAUUUGUUAUGGUUAUCGGCUAUCGCUGAGUCAAAUUCAUCUCAUUUGCACGUCAAGACAGGCAAUGCGCGCUCCGUGCAUAUCUGACAAAGUUCGAUGAAUGCGUUGCUGUGCAUUAUUGACUGCGUGUUUAAUCUCCACUGCGUUUUCUGUGUCUUCUUGCAUACGAAUCGACGACUGUUUCGUGCUGUGCAUUGUGAAAGUCAACAUCAAGUUCAGGCCUUGCCAAACGCUGCGAAUGUCCAAUGUAUUGUCAUAACACCAAUGUCAUAAGCUUUACUUCGGUGAUAUUUUGUGCAGUUACAUGUAGAGCAAUAUGCGAUAUCGCAAUUCUGUCGGUGUACUUCUCACACCAACACUGCUAACACUCAAAUCAUAUUACGCUGGUGUCUGCGUGGACCCGGCAGCAGGCGGCAUCAUGUCAUGUUCUGAUGUGUGCACACCUUUGUUCACAGGCGAGUACGAACACUGUACGCGUGCAUGGGCGAGAACGAAUCGGAGCUCUCCUUCGAACCCAACCAGAUCAUCAAUAAUGUGCGGCCCUCGAGAGAACCCGGCUGGCUAGAAGGAACGCUCAACGGUAACCCCGGCCUCGUACCGGAAAACUACGUGGAGUACCUGCCGUGAGCGGUGCCUGUGACGUCAUUGGGGUGCCGUGACGUCAUUGGAGGACUGCCGCCGCCGCCGUGGCCGCGGCUUACUGUUGUGAUCGAACUGUUAGCUUGUUGAGCGCCGAUAUCGUAUCAUAUAUUGUUGAAAUGUUACACUGUGCGGUCGCCCGUGUCGGGUGAUCGCCACGUCAUUCCACCUCGUACUGGAGACUACCACUGCCGCCGCCGGGUACGGACCCGUAUCCGUAUCCGUACCGGGCCCGGAUCCGUCGCGGUUUCCACAUACUGGACGGAGAGGUCCUAUCCCCGCUCGGCGUCGUGGCGGCGAGCAGCGCUGUACUGCGUGAUAAAACGCCCCGCCGGCGACCAGAUGUAGCCAGAACCGAGAACGUCUAUUCAUAUAUACAUAUAUCAUUGUCCGUGUAUAUACUGUACAAAGGGCUGCAGCGCUACAGCCCGGCCUUAUGAGCGCAGAAUAAACCAAUAUUAUGAACACUGC